GAUGAACGCUGGCGGCGUGCCUAACACAUGCAAGUCGAACGAAGCUUGACGGAUGAUUUCUUCGGAAUGAAACCAGAUAUGACUUAGUGGCGGACGGGUGAGUAACACGUGAGCAACCUGCCUUUCAGAGGGGGAUAACGGCUGGAAACGGUCGCUAAUACCGCAUGAUGUGUUCGGAUGGCAUCAUCUGAACAUCAAAGAUUUAUCGCUGAAAGAUGGGCUCGCGUCUGAUUAGAUAGUUGGUGGGGUAACGGCCUACCAAGUCUACGAUCAGUAGCCGGACUGAGAGGUUGAACGGCCACAUUGGGACUGAGAUACGGCCCAGACUCCUACGGGAGGCAGCAGUGGGGAAUAGUGCACAAUGGGGGAAACCCUGAUGCAGCAACGCCGCGUGAAGGAUGACGGUUUUCGGAUUGUAAACUUCUUUUCUUAGUGACGAAGACAGUGACGGGAGCUAAGGAAUAAGCAUCGGCUAACGACG
rnacentral:rRNA from 1 species